rnacentral:rRNA from 1 species
UGGGGAAUAUUGGGCAAUGGAGGCAACUCUGACCCAGCAACGCCGCGUGAGUGAUGAAGGUCUUCGGAUUGUAAAACUCUUUAAGUGGGGACGAAGAAAGUGACUGUACCCACAGAAUAAGCCUCGGCUAACUACGUGCCAGCAGCCGCGGUAAUACGUAGGAGGCAAGCGUUAUCCGGAAUGACUGGGCGUAAAGGGUGCGUAGGUGGUUUGGCAAGUUAGUAGCGUAAUUCCGGGGCUCAACUUCGGAACUACUACUAAAACUGCUGGGCUUGAGUGCAGGAGGGGCAUAUGGAAUUCCUAGUGUAGCGGUGGAAUGCGUAGAUAUUAGGAGGAACACCAGUGGCGAAGGCGAUAUGCUGGACUGUAACUGACACUGAGGCACGAAAGCGUGGGGAGCAAACAGG